UGUGGACUUCUCUGGAAAGUUUUGGCUGAAAUACAUGGGGAGCUGGUGCUGAAGCUGAAAACCCUUGAUUAUGUCCUUGCGCUGGGACGGUGCCAGUGGCAACUGUCACUCAAUGGGACAGAG
rnacentral:snoRNA from 1 species